rnacentral:rRNA from 1 species
AUUCCCCUAGUAACUGCGAGUGAAGCGGGAAAAGCUCAAAUUUAAAAUCUGGUGGUCUUUUGGCCAUCCGAGUUGUAAUUUAGAGAAGCGUCUUCCGCGCUGGACCGUACACAAGUCUCCUGGAACGGAGCGUCAUAGAGGGUGAGAAUCCCGUCUUUGGUACGGACCCCCAGGGCUUCUGUGAUGCGCUCUCGAAGAGUCGAGUUGUUUGGGAAUGCAGCUCAAAAUGGGUGGUGAACUCCAUCUAAAGCUAAAUAUUGGCGAGAGACCGAUAGCGAACAAGUACCGUGAGGGAAAGAUGAAAAGCACUUUGGAAAGAGAGUGAAACAGUACGUGAAAUUGUUGAAAGGGAAACGCUUAAAGUCAGUCGCGUCGACCGAGACUCAGCCUCGCUCCGGCUUGGUGUAUUUCUCGGCCCGACGGGUCAGCGUCAAUUUGGUCCCUCGGAUAAUGGCAAGGGAAAGGUGGCACCUUUGCGGGUGUGUUAUAGUCUUUUGUCGCAUGCGAGGGGUGAGAUUGAGGAACUCAGCACGCGCGCCCUUCUGGGUGUGUCGGGGCCUCGGCCCACGCCACGUGCUUAGGAUGCUGGCGUAAUGGCUUUAAACGACCCGUCUUGAAACACGGACCAAGGAGUCUAACAUGCCCGCGAGUGUUCGGGUGGAAAACCCGUGCGCGUAAUGAAAGUGAAAGUUGGGACCUUCGUCGUGAAGGGCACCGACGCCCGGACCAGACCUUCUGUGACGGAUCUGCGGUGGAGCGUGCAUGUUGGGACCCGAAAGAUGGUGAACUAUGCCUGAAUAGGGUGAAGCCAGAGGAAACUCUGGUGGAGGCUCGUAGCGAUUCUGACGUGCAAAUCGAUCGUCAAAUUUGGGUAUAGGGGCGAAAGAC